GCAGGGCUGGUAGCACAGUGAGUUAGUGCGCUUGGCUGUUAACCAGAAGGCUGGUGGUUCGAGCCCAGCUAUGGACUGCUGCG